rnacentral:sRNA from 1 species
GCCAAGGUGGAUGCCCUGAAUGAUGAGAUCAACUUCCUCAGGACCCUCAAUGAGACGGAGUUGACAGAGCUGCAGUCCCAGAUCUCCGACACAUCUGUGGUGCUGUCCAUGGACAACAGUCGCUCCCUGGACCUGGACGGCAUCAUCGCUGAGGUCAAGGCACAGUAUGAGGAGAUGGCCAAAUGCAGCCGGGCUGAGGCUGAGGCCUGGUACCAGACCAAGUUUGAGACCCUCCAGGCCCAGGCUGGGAAGCAUGGGGAAGACCUCCGGAAUACCCGGAAUGAGAUUUCAGAGAUGAACCGGGCCAUCCAGAGGCUGCAGGCUGAGAUUGACAACAUCAAGAACCAGGUCCUGGCAUGGGCUGAUGGGAGAAGGGUCCUGGAUGUGCACAGAGCCUGUGGAGGGAGACUCAGGCUGGCUGGCCAGAGGAAAGCCACCACUGGUUCCACAUUGAUACUGAGCACUCUGCUUGCACCUGGUUCUGGGUGCAGGGCGCUGUCCCUGGGAGCUCAUCGUUCAUUGCAGGGACAGAGGACAGCAGAAGACUUUAUAAUGGCUCACAUGGCCCUUUCCCACUCCAAC